rnacentral:rRNA from 1 species
GUGGAUUAGAUACCCUGGUAGUCCACGCCGUAAACGAUGCAUACUAGUCUUAUGGGGUAUCGACCCCCUGUGAGACGCAGCUAACGCGAUAAGUAUGCCGCCUGGGAAGUACGGCCGCAAGGCUAAAACUCAAAGGAAUUGACGGGGACCCGCACAAGCAGAGGAUGAUGUGGUUUAAUAUGACGCUACGCGUAGAACCUUACCGAGGCUUGACAUCCUUGGAACCCGCUGGAAACAGUGGGGUGCCGCAAGGAGCCAAGUGACAGGUGCUGCAUGGCCGUCGACAACU